CUCAGUUCGGAUUGGAGUCUGCAACCCGACUCCAUGAAGCUGGAUUCGCUAGUAAUCGCGCAUCAGCCACGGCGCGGUGAAUACGUUCCCGGGCCUUGUACACACCGCCCGUCAAACCAUGAGAGUUGGCAACACCCGAAGUCGGUAGUCUAACCGCAAGGAGGACGCCGCCGAAGGUGGGGUUGAUGAUUAGGGUUAAGUCGUAACAAGGUAGC
rnacentral:rRNA from 1 species